rnacentral:rRNA from 1 species
UGCCAGCCGCCGCGGUAAUACGUAAGUCGCAAGCGUUAAUCAGUAUUACUGGGCGUAAAGCGCGCGUAGGUGGAUUGGUCAGUCAGAUGUGAAAGCCCCGGGCUCAACCCCGGAAGUGCACUUGAAACAGCAAGACUUGAAUACGGUAGAGGAGAGAGGAAUUCCUGGUGUAGAGGUGAAAUUCGUAGAUAUCAGGAGGAACACCGAUGGCGAAGGCAUCUCUCUGGGCCGAUAUUGACGCUGAGGCGCGAAGGCGUGGGUAGCGAACGGGAUUAGAUA